ACUCCUACGGGAGGCAGCAGUGGGGAAUAUUGGACAAUGGGGGAACCCUGAUCCAGCCAUGCCGCGUGUGUGAAGAAGGCCUUUUGGUUGGUAAAGACACAUUUUAAGCGAGGAGGAGGCUUACCUGGUUAAUACCUGGGAUAAGUGGACGUUACUCGCAGAAUAAGCACCGGCUAACUCUGUGCCAGCAGCCGCGGUAAUACAGAGGGUGCAAGCGUUAAUCGGAUUUACUGGGCGUAAAGCGCGCGUAGGUGGCUAAUUAAGUC
rnacentral:rRNA from 1 species